rnacentral:SRP_RNA from 1 species
ACCGGGUGCAGUGGCGCGUGCCUGCAGUCCCAGCUACUCGGGAGGCUGAGGCUGAAGGACCUCUUGAGUCCAGGAGUUCUGGGCUGUAGUGUGCAAUGCCGAUUGGGUGUCUGCACUAAGUUCGGCAUCAAUAUGCUGACCUCCUGGGAGUGGGGGACCACCAGGUUGCCUAAGGAGGGAUGAACCGGCCCAGGUCAGAAAUGGAGCAGGUCAAAACUCCGGUGCUGAUCAGUAAUGAUCACGCCUGUGAAUAGCCACUGCACUCCAGCCUGGGCAACAUAGCGAGACCCCAUCUCU